CCCCUGCCCCCGCCCCCGCUCCGCCCUCGGUGCCUCCUCGCCCGCUGCGCGCCCCGCGGUCCUUGAACCCCGAGCGGUCCCGUGUCCCGCCUGUGACCCGCUGCGCCCCGGGCCGCCGCCCUCUCCGUGCCUCCCGGCCCGGCCCCGCCGCCUGCAGAACGGAGCCCGAGCGGGGAUUUGGACCGGGCUCGGCGGCCUCCGGGCGGCUGGUCUACCCCGAGGUCGGGCCUGGGCGUGCGCGCCGCCCCCGGGGCCGCACAGCGGCGGCCGACGCCCGAGCAAAGAAACGGACGAGGCUGAGCUCUGCAGCCCGGGGAGGUGUCCGAACUGGGUUGUUAGAUGGAGAAAUCAAUUAUUCUGUUGCUCUGGGUACAAUAUGUUGUUAAGAUCUCAAAAAGUUUCUGUUUUGUGAAUAAUCGAACAACAGUUGUUAUUGAAUGGGAUGAAUUUCCUAAGGGAAGAAGUCCUGGAUUUUAUUUUUUAAAAUACCAACUUGUUAAUGAUUUUGCUGAAAAAACUAUCAAAAGCAUUCUUAUAAACCCACAAGAGCUUUCAAAAGCAAUAACACUAGAAGAAAAUGAAGACUAUCACAUUAUUCUACAGUCCAUAAAAUAUGGACAAAUUUUAAGUGAAAAGUCAUUUAAAACCCGCUCAUGUUCACCAGGAUGGAUAGCAUUGAGAAAUAGCUGUUAUAAAAUUAGCAAAGAGAGUAAGCCAUGGAAUAUAGCCCAGCGACACUGUAGAUUAUCCUUAAGUUCUGCACACCUUGUGGAUAUAAAAAAUGAAGAGGAAAAAAAAUUUGUAUCUUCACUUCUCAGGUCAAAGAAUCAAAUAAUAAUAUGGACUGGUCUUAAUGAUUUGAAGAAAGAAGGUCAUCUCACGUGGACAGAUGGAUCAUCUUUUGGCCUUAAGAAAAAUGAAAUCUUUUCUUUUCCAUUGCUACCCAAGAAUGAAACAGAUUGCUAUGUUUUACAGCAAAAUGCAUCUGGAUCAAACUAUUUCUUCACAAGAUUUUUCUGUUAUGUUCCAUUGCCGUAUAUUUGCAGAUAUGACUCACCUUCUCUGCAGGAAAACCUUUUGAUCUAUAUAAAGGAUGUUGGAACAACUGAAGUUGUAUUUGGUUGGCAUAAUUUGAAUGCUUGGAAUAAUUUGAAUAAGUGGCUAAAACUGGGAUAUAAAAUUAUCAUUAAAUAUUAUUUAGAUUAUACAGAAGAAAAAUAUUUUGAAAGCAUAUCCCCAAAUACUACGGAAAAAAGAAUUACCCAGUUGUUUCCUGGCCAUACUUACAGAUUUUUACUCUUUGCAAUAAAUGAAUGGGAGGCAAAAACUGUGUUAAGUUCAGUGUUCAUUGUUGAAACACGCCCGUUAUCAGCUCAAAAUAUCACAGUUACUCAUGUGACCCCAACAGAAAUAUUUUUACACUGGAAUCCUCCAGAUCUUGCAUCUUUUCACCAUUAUCUUGUGACUAUUUUGAAUGUGGAAAACAAUAAAUCAAAAGAGAUGUUUGUUGAAAAACUCAACACAUCAGUGAAAAUCGGAGAUCUCAAACCUUUCCAUCAUUAUCUGAUAUAUUUAUUCAGUGUAGGGGAAAGAGGAACUUUAGGAUGCUCUGAGAGACCUAUUUCAGCCGUUACAGGUGAGUGAGUGCCGGGUAGGUGCCCUUGCACAUCUGAUGAAAAAAUGAGUAAUCUUGGCAAUGGGAACAUUACUCUGAUGGAACUCU
rnacentral:lncRNA from 1 species